GAUUCUCCGCCGACUCUUUGAAAGACGCUUCCAUGGGUGUUCUGCAGCCGGGCUGGGAGCCUGCAGCACUGCACAGCAUUGUUUCUUAGAAAGAACUGCCUAACCACAGUGAGACUGUCCUGUUCCUCGUGUUCUGCUUGCUGUGCAAUGCUUCAGUUUUCAGGAGAGAUGAGGGCUACCUGAACACUCACCUCUGCAUGAACACCAGCAGUAGGCUUUACACCCAAGAAGUACCACUUGGAAUAGACU